UACGUAGGGGGCAAGCGUUGUCCGGAAUCAUUGGGCGUAAAGAGCGCGUAGGCGGUCCGGUAAGUCCGCUCUGAAAGUCGGGGGCUCAACCCUCGGAUGCCGGUGGAUACUGUCGAGCUUGAGUACGGAAGAGGCGAGUGGAAUUCCUGGUGUAGCGGUGAAAUGCGCAGAUAUCAGGAGGAACACCAAUUGCGAAGGCAGCUCGCUGGGACGUUACUGACGCUGAGACGCGAAAGCGUGGGGAGCAAACAGG
rnacentral:rRNA from 1 species